GGGUUCAGAACGUCGUGAGACAGUUCGGUCCCUAUCCGUCGCGGGCGUUGGAAAUUUGAGAGGAGCUGUCCUUAGUACGAGAGGACCGGGAUGGACUUACCGCUGGUGUACCAGUUGUUCUGCCAAGGGCAUUGCUGGGUAGCUAUGUAGGGAAGGGAUAAACGCUGAAAGCAUCUAAGUGUGAAGCCCACCUCAAGAUGAGAUUUCCCAUUUCUUUAAGAAAGUAAGAUCCCUGAGAGAUGAUCAGGUAGAUAGGUCAGGAGUGGAAGUACAGUGAUGUAUGGAGCGGACUGAUACUAAUCGAUCGAGGACUUAACCAAU
rnacentral:rRNA from 1 species